GAUGAACGCUAGCGGCAGGCUUAACACAUGCAAGUCGAGGGGCAGCGAGAGAGUAGCAAUACUUUUGUCGGCGACCGGCGGACGGGUGCGUAACGCGUAUGCAACCUACCUUAUACAGGGGGAUAACCUUUCGAAAGGGAGACUAAUACCGCAUAACAUUACUUUGAGGCAUCUUGAGGUAAUUAAAUCUUCGGAGGUAUAAGAUGGGCAUGCGUAGCAUUAGCUAGAUGGUGCGGUAACGGCGUACCAUGGCGACGAUGCUUAGGGGUUCUGAGAGGAAGGUCCCCCACACUGGUACUGAGAUACGGACCAGACUCCUACGGGAGGCAGCAGUGAGGAAUAUUGGUCAAUGGGCGAAAGCCUGAACCAGCCAAGUCGCGUGAAGGAUGAAAGGUUCUAUGGAUUGUAAACUCUUUUGUCUGAGGGUAAAAAAGCGGACGUGUCCGUUCUUGCAAGUAUCAGACGAAUAAGCAUCGGCUAACUCCGUGCCAGCAGCCGUAC
rnacentral:rRNA from 1 species